UACGAAGGGGGCUAGCGUUGUUCGGAAUUACUGGGCGUAAAGCGCACGUAGGCGGACUAUUAAGUCAGGGGUGAAAUCCCGGGGCUCAACCCCGGAACUGCCUUUGAUACUGGUGGUCUAGAGUCCGGAAGAGGUGAGUGGAAUUCCGAGUGUAGAGGUGAAAUUCGUAGAUAUUCGGAGGAACACCAGUGGCGAAGGCGGCUCACUGGUCCGGUACUGACGCUGAGGUGCGAAAGCGUGGGGAGCAAACAGG
rnacentral:rRNA from 1 species